AUGCUACUCCCUCCGUCCAACAAAGGAUGUCUCAACUUUGUCAAAAUUUGAAUGUAGAUACAUUCAAAUUUUGACAAAGUUGAGACAUCUUUUGUUGGACGGAGGGAGUACAAA
rfam:Brachypodium distachyon strain Bd21 chromosome 3, whole genome shotgun sequence.